GAUGAACGCUAGCUACAGGCUUAACACAUGCAAGUCGAGGGGUAACGAGAGGAAAGCUUGCUUUCCUUGUCGACGACCGGCGCACGGGUGAGUAACGCGUAUCCAACCUGCCCCCAACUAAGGAAUAACCUUGCGAAAGUAAGACUAAUACCUUAUAAUUUCCUCAGAUGUCAUCUGACGAGGAAUAAAGAUUUAUCGGUUGUGGAUGGGGAUGCGUCUGAUUAGCUUGUUGGCGGGGUAACGGCCCACCAAGGCAACGAUCAGUAGGGGUUCUGAGGGGAAGGUCCACCACAUUGGAACUGAGACCCGGUCCAAACUCCUACGUGAGGCAGCAGUGAGGAAUAUUGGUCAAUGGGCGAAAGCCUGAACCAGCCAAGUAGCGUGCAGGAUGACGGCCCUAUGGGUUGUAAACUGCUUUUAUACAGGAAUAAAGUUAGCCACGUGUGGUUAUUUGUAGGUACUGUAUGAAUAAGGACCGGCUAAUUCCGUGCCAGCCGCCGCCGUAA
rnacentral:rRNA from 1 species